rnacentral:rRNA from 1 species
AUCCUGGCUCAGAGCGAACGCUGGCGGCAGGCUUAACACAUGCAAGUCGAGCGGGCGUAGCAAUACGUCAGCGGCAGACGGGUGAGUAACGCGUGGGAACAUACCUUUUGGUUCGGAACAACACAGGGAAACUUGUGCUAAUACCGGAUAAGCCCUUACGGGGAAAGAUUUAUCGCCGAAAGAUUGGCCCGCGUCUGAUUAGCUAGUUGGUGAGGUAAUGGCUCACCAAGGCGACGAUCAGUAGCUGGUCUGAGAGGAUGAUCAGCCACAUUGGGACUGAGACACGGCCCAAACUCCUACGGGAGGCAGCAGUGGGGAAUAUUGGACAAUGGGGGCAACCCUGAUCCAGCCAUGCCGCGUGAGUGAUGAAGGCCCUAGGGUUGUAAAGCUCUUUUGUGCGGGAAGAUAAUGACGGUACCGCAAGAA